AGAGUUUGAUCCUGGCUCAGGACGAACGCUGGCGGCGUGCUUAACACAUGCAAGUCGAGCGGAAAGGCCCUUCGGGGUACUCGAGCGGCGAACGGGUGAGUAACACGUGAGCAACCUGCCCCUGACUCUGGGAUAAGCCCGGGAAACUGGGUCUAAUACCGGAUAUGACCGCCUCCGGCAUCGGAUGGUGGUGGAAAGUUUUUCGGUUGGGGAUGGGCUCGCGGCCUAUCAGCUAGUUGGUGGGGUAACGGCCCACCAAGGCGACGACGGGUAGCUGGUCUGAGAGGAUGGCCAGCCACAUUGGGACUGAGACACGGCCCAGACUCCUACGGGAGGCAGCAGUGGGGAAUAUUGCGCAAUGGACGAAAGUCUGACGCAGCGACGCCGCGUGUGGGAUGACGGUCUUCGGAUUGUAAACCACUGUCGGGAGGGACGAAUACGCCGCAAGGCGGGUGACGGUACCUCCAAAGGAAGCACCGGCUAACUCCGUGCCAGCAGCCGCGGUAAUACGGAGGGUGCGAGCGUUGUCCGGAAUCACUGGGCGUAAAGGGCGCGUAGGCGGCCUGAUAAGUAGGGGGUGAAAUCCUGCGGCUUAACCGCAGGGCUGCCUUCUAAACUGUCAGGCUCGAGCACAGUAGAGGCAGGUGGAAUUCCCGGUGUAGCGGUGGAAUGCGUAGAGAUCGGGAAGAACAUCAGUGGCGAAGGCGGCCUGCUGGGCUGUUGCUGACGCUGAGGCGCGACAGCGUGGGGAGCAAACAGGAUUAGAUACCCCAGUAGUCC
rnacentral:rRNA from 1 species